GGAAAUAUAUAUUAACAGGUAUUUCAAUUUUAGUAUUUUAAAAUACCAUCAUCGGAUCUUUACAUAUGGGCUGUCAAUCGAUGCGUAUUUAUACCCGUUACUCUAGCCAUUAUAAUAAAGAGACAUAUUAGAACCUGUGCAACAGGCCGUAAAACACGGAAGAAUAGUUACUCUCUACUUUGCUGUUGUGAACUGAUAAUUUAGUCAAAUUGCACAAAGGCAUAGGAACGAAAGACGAAAAGGUGUAUUUAAGCCAACGGAACAACUUAGAUUCAGAAAAGAGCCAGGUGUUAAGAUGGAAUACAAAAUUCAAUUCUCUUUUUACCAAACUCAAAUUAAUGUCUUAUGGUGUCAAGUUCCACCUUGCAGAUAUUCGCUGAAAGAUCUCUAGCCGAGUCGAUCUGGACAUGUCCGUCUGUUUGUUCGUCUAUGUAUAACCACUGAGGAGAUCUCGGGAACUAUAAACAUUAAAGAGCGCCUGAAUUAUAAACCAGCCCAUGCUUAUGAAGCUAAAACCAAAAUUGUGAAUUGCCAAUGACCGAAUUAUAAGUUUCAUGCUGAAAACUGAGAAGCAACCACACGGACUUCACUGCGUUGCAAACUGACUGAAAUCAAUAUGCCCUCAGCAUUUGUAUAAAGAGUGAAACUUUUCUAACUACAUAAAAUGCGUGAGAACAGCAUAAUUGAAAAGGAGCCUGUCCCUGGAGACCAUUUCGUUAGAGAUAAUAAGGCGAAACAAAUGAUUACGGUAUUCGUUAACUUCUGGAGAAUCCGAGGGUUGAACGAAUUACAAACCAGUGAGAAGACCGAUCUCCAUCACAGGUUUAACAAGCCUCGCCACGAGCAUUAUCAAAGUCACCCGGGGAUGUACCAAACAAGAUAAAUCUUUCCAAAAGCGAGAUCGGCUCUCCUUUAUACUGAGAUCGGGUCUUCCCGAUACCAAUAUCGGUUCGUCUGGAUGGCGAGAAGACAUUUUCUCAAAACAAUUAAAGUAUCGAAAACUAUGUGUACCCUGAAAAUGUUUCGAUCUCGAUACGCGUAUGCUGAUCAUAAAAAAGUAAGUUUUUAUCAUGCAUUUUUUUAAGCUGUAGAGCCUUGUAAUUCCUUAACAUUGCACGUUUAAAAAUUUAAGCAUCAAAUACGAAAGAACUAACCCUUUUUAUAACAAAAAAAUAUUUCAUCUUAAAAUUUGAUAUCAAAACUUUUGUAUUUUGAAGUUGCAAUCAUCUCCGUACAUAUUUUAUAUCCAAAGACGCCGCAGUCUGCGUUGGUAAAUGCAGCUGAGUUUUAUUCUUAAAUCUAUGUUUGAGGCCUAUGACCGCGCUAAUCAUCUCCUGCGUGGUCAUAUCUCUUGACACUUCGGCAAUAGGCCGCUGCAAUCGUACUUAUCUGUAGUUGCCACUUAUGCUGCCCCGUGACAUGUUUAUUGCAGCCCAUAAAUAGAACAUAUUUAUAGUUUGCCUACUUAUCAUGUCUAAACACAUAUUUAGAUAUGUCUAUGGCUAUGGCCAUUUCAGCUUACCUAAGGAAAACAAAAAGCCACCGAAUGGGCAUUAUAAAGCGUAAAUCUUUAAUCAAAACAUAUCCAAAGUGGGAAAGUGUCAACUUUUUUAUAAGGCUUAUCACACAACGCAUUUUUACAAUUCCUUAGAAUAGAAACAAUCUAAUUACUAGUAAAAAAUAUAUUUGGGGACAAAUAUUCUUAAAAUAAGACUAAACAAAAGAGAAUGCUAUAGUCGAGUUCCCCGACUAUCAGGUACCCGUUACUCAUCAUUUUAGGAUAUCAAUAGAUAUUGGGGAAUAAUAUAAGAAAAAGUUUAAAAAUGGUUUCAAAGUGUGGGCGUGACCAUUUUGGGAGUUUUGUAGGUGAGAGGAGGGGCGUGGCAACAGUUUUUGGUAUACUGACGGAGAUUCGCAAAACAAACCAUAAAACGAAAAAAUAUCUAAAAAAAAUUUUAAAAGUGUAGGCGCGUCAGUUUUGGGCUGUUUUAGGGCGUGAAAGUGGGCGAGGCAAAAAGUUUUUUGUCAAAUCGAUGGAAAUUUACAAGACUAAUAAAAUUUAUAUUAUAAUUAUUUAAUUAUAAAUUAUUUAUAAAAUAAACAUGGGCGUGGCAGAGUUGGCCGCUUUUGACUAAUAUAUCCUUUUACCCUAUGAGUAACGGGUACUAUAAUAUAAGAAUAAAUAAAACAAUAUAUAUUUUUUUAAAUAUAAUUUAGAUCGAUAUGCUCGAUUACGUUUAAUUUCGAGCUUAGUAUACAAUUUAUACAAUAUUUUAGUCAGAAAGUAUUCAAUUUACCGAAGGAGUACACAAUUUACCCAUUUACCGUAUACAAUUUACCGAAGAGUACAAUUUAAACUUGUUCAUGGUAUAAGGAAUUUAUAUGCAUUGGUUUUUACGAUAUUUUGCACUGUUUUAAGCGAUUGUAAGUAUUUAUUUUUCGAACUAAUGAUGCACAUUUCGUUUCAUUUAAUUUAAAAUAAGGGUUUGUUGCAGACAGACUAAGAAACCAACCAAAAUGUUUCACUAUUGUCGUCACUAUCUGGCCUUACGUCCCCGCAGUGAUAACGUCCAGAGUAUAUAUUUUUUUUUAAAGAGUUAACUUAAUGAGAAUCUUUGUAAGAACUUUGUUAUACUUAAAAGUAAUUGAUGUUACAAUAGUAUCUUGUAUAUUGUUUUUAUGGCUUAAAAUUUAAAUAUUUAUGAAAUCCUUAAUGGAGUCAGACGAACUUUGGGUAUUAUGAACAUUUGUUAGAUAAAUUGAGGAGAAUACUGUAAACCCAUUUUACUAUACAAGUAAGGGGCAUACAAAUGUUUUUGCGUCGAUUAUUUGUAAGGACACUUACUGACGAAAUUUGUAUACUAUAUUUAUAUACAUAUAUAUUAUAUAUUUAUAGAUCACCGCCGUUUUUGACGAAAUUUUU